rfam:Helianthus annuus linkage group 12, whole genome shotgun sequence.
AUGCUAAAACCUUUGGGAUCAUGCAUUGUCAUGCAUGUAUCUUGAUAAGUAGGGCAAAUGUGGAGGUAUAGAAGAUGAGUUACUCUUUGUUAGGCCAUCUCUUUUCCUCUAUUUUCAAUUAGUUUGCUUUUGGCAUCAACCGUUUUCGGAUAAUGUCAAAACAAACCGGCAAGUCACAAAUCGGCAAAGGCUUCUUCUUGGUGUCUU